AUUCUGCCCAUGCGGGGAAGGAUGAGAAGCUUCGACCAAGGUUCGACUCGAGUGCCAGCGAGAGAGCGUUGCCGCAGGCAACGACCCGUAGGGCGAAGCGCGCAGCGCUGAGUAAUCCUUCCCCCACCACUA
rnacentral:sRNA from 1 species